CCCUGGAGGGUCCCUACCUCCGUUCCAUCAGAAGAUCCUCGAGACUUGCAAUCGAGAGGACCUCCUGGAUCAAAGAUUCCAAGAGAUGAACCAGCGGAUCAAGGAGCUCAUCAGACGAGGUCAGCUUGACAGAUUCAUUCGACACCGACUUGAAGGUAGGGAAGAUCGAUCGAGGGCCCUGCCACAAUCGGAGCCACCA
rnacentral:lncRNA from 1 species